CUAGCAUGAAGUCAGACAAGCGAACCCGCUGAAUUUAA
rnacentral:rRNA from 1 species